AAGUCGUAACAAGGUUUCCGUAGGUGAACCUGCGGAAGGAUCAUUAACGCAUCUCGGGGCGUCCGUUUCCGAGGGCCCCGCUCCGACCGCGAGGCCGUGCAGCGGGCUUUCGGCGACCCCCAACCCUUCACAAACCCACCGUGCACCUUUGCGGGAGAGGCUCCCCGGGCGAGAGCCCGGUCGGCCGAACCCGCCUCCAAAAACGCUAGUUUACAAAGAAUGUGUUGCGGCCUUUUGGCGUCGCCUAAUGACAUGACAACUUUCAACAACGGAUCUCUUGGCUCUC
rnacentral:misc_RNA from 1 species